rnacentral:rRNA from 1 species
GAUGAACGCUAGCUACAGGCUUAACACAUGCAAGUCGAGGGACCGGCGCACGGGUGAGUAACACGUAUCCAACCUGCCCUUUACUCGGGGAUAGCCUUUCGAAAGAAAGAUUAAUACCCGAUGUAAAGGAUGGGGAUGCGUUCCAUUAGGUUGUUGGUGAGGUAACGGUUCACCAAGCCUUCGAUGGAUAGGGGUUCUGAGAGGAAGGUCCCCGAGAUUGGAACUGAGACACGGACCAAACUCCUACGGGAGGCGGCAGUGGGGAAUAUGGGGCAAUGAGCGUUAGCCUGAACCAGCCAAGUAGCGUGAAGGAUGAAGGCUUAUGUGUCUUAAAUUUCUUUUAUAUAAGAAUAUGUAUUAUAUGAAUAAGGAUCGGCUAACUCCGUGCCAGCAGCCGCGGUAAUAC